rnacentral:rRNA from 1 species
GAUGAACGCUGGCGGCGUGCUUAACACAUGCAAGUCGAACGGUGAAAGAGGAGCUUGCUCCUCUGGAUCAGUGGCGAACGGGUGAGUAACACGUGAGUAACCUGCCCCAGACUCUGGGAUAAGCACUGGAAACGGUGUCUAAUACCGGAUACGAGCUUCAGCCGCAUGGCUAGGAGCUGGAAAGAAUUUCGGUCUGGGAU